UACGGGGGGAGCAAGCGUUGUUCGGAUUUACUGGGCGUAAAGGGCGCGUAGGCGGCCAGCGCAAGUCAGUUGUGAAAUCUCCGGGCUUAACUCGGAAAGGUCAACUGAUACUGCGCGGCUAGAGUGCAGAAGGGGCAACUGGAAUUCUCGGUGUAGCGGUGAAAUGCGUAGAUAUCGAGAGGAACACCUGCGGCGAAGGCGGGUUGCUGGGCUGACACUGACGCUGAUGCGCGAAAGCGUGGGGAGCGAACAGG
rnacentral:rRNA from 1 species